rnacentral:lncRNA from 1 species
GCUCCCGCGACUCCGCUGCGGGUCUGCACACCCGAGGACUCGGUUUGAAACGCCCGCUUAUUUAUUUUCUUGUCGCCUCGCUACAAGAUUCUAUCCUUGUUUGGGCAUGAGUGGGGGGCGGCAGUCUCGUGGGACCGGCGGCAUUCGUCGUUCCUCCUUACGGGGAUAAUUCGAGAAGUGCGGUCCGGGGGUACUUAACCGAAACUAGCAAUCCCAGGCGGUACAAGGCCCUCCAUCGUAGGCAAAGCACUACCUGAAUGUAGAUUUGGGCCAUACGUUGGAAAAUAAGACAUGAGAGUAUGCUCCGAUCAACUUUUACUGUUCACUGGACAACUAUUUUGGGAAUUUGCAGACCUAUAAAGCCCAUCUAUAAAUCUCAAGCAUGUCCACUUUCAGAGAAGAGAAAUGCUGACAACCAUUUAGUCUCUGAGGACAACACUUUUAAAGUGUAACAAUGUGGCAUCCAGAGCUUAUCCAGAUGAGCGGAGAGCAAAUGAAUUUCCUUCUGCUCCCCUGUUGAAGAGGAGAGAAAAAUUCUUCAAGCUGACUCCAUCAUAGGACUGGAGAGAGAUUGGAUGUCAGAGUGAUUGAUGUGCUCCUACUGGAAGAAGGCAAACAUCCAUAUGUGAACUGCCUGUGGGGUUUCCAAGGAAAGGAACGGCAGGCAGCCUCUAUGAGCUUAAAGAAGAUAACUGGGACUUUAGUCCUAUAACCUCAAGGAACAGUAUUCUGUGAACCAUCUGAGAAGCUUGGAAGAGGACCCCAAACUCCAAAUAAGAAGCUCAGUGUG